ACGAACGCUGGCGGCGUGCUUAACACAUGCAAGUCGAACGGUGAAGCGCCUUCCUUUUUGGUGGGUGUGGAUGAGUGGCGAACGGGUGAGUAACACGUGAGUAACCUGCCCCCUUCUUCUGGAUAACCGCAUGAAAGUGUGGCUAAUACGGGAUAUUCUGGGUCUGUCGCAUGAUGGGUCUGGGAAAGAUAUUGUUUCGGUGGGGGAUGGGCUCGCGGCCUAUCAGCUUGUUGGUGGGGUGAUGGCCUACCAAGGCGGUGACGGGUAGCCGGCCUGAGAGGGUGGACGGUCACACUGGGACUGGGACACGGCCCAGACUCCUACGGGAGGCAGCAGUGGGGAAUAUUGCACAAUGGGCGCAAGCCUGAUGCAGCGACGCCGCGUGAGGGAUGGAGGCCUUCGGGUUGUGAACCUCUUUCGCCAGUGAAGCAGGCCUGCCUCGUUUGUGGGUGGGUUGACGGUAGCUGGAUAAGAAGCGCCGGCUAACUACGUG
rnacentral:rRNA from 1 species